GGCUACAAAAAAAAUAUAUAUAUGACAGAGAUCGUUUUUAUCUGGCCCUCCAACUUGUUUUUGAGGUUUAAAUAUUCUCGCAAUCUGAUAUUAAAGUGAUCUCUGUGCCAAAGCUUAGCGCGUUCAUCAGUGGUGAGUUUAACAACACUCAACUGCAGGUAAAACAGCAUUCAUCGGUGAGUUUGACCAAAGCAACACUCAACUGCAGGGAAAACGGCAUAAAAAGGUGAGUUUAACAACGCUCCAAGGCGCGUGCAAGUAAGCAGUUUAACCGUUUUCUUACACACCAUUCUCGCUUAUCGCUUAUUCAUAGUUCAUCAUCUCUAUGAAAUCACGUUCAAGAAGUCUCAUUCAGCACACAUCGCGAUACUUGCCAUCAGUUUCCAUGUGCCACAGGGUCGAUGUAAAGGAAGCAGUCAUCCCUGUGGUGUUUGUGGAGAGGUUUUCCUUCAGAAAUGGAGAAGACUGAAAGCUGCGGAGGCAGACAUUUGCAGCAGCCAAGUGUUCGAGUGAGCAUGAUGACCACAAGUGUGUGUCGAACUUUUCAUCACCUGAUGACAGUGGUUCCCAAUCCUGAUCCUGGAGAACCCCAGCACUGCACGGUUUUGGCGUCUCUCUUAUCUCACAAACACACUUUUGAGGUCUUGGAGUCUUCACUGAUGAGCUGAUGAGUUGAAUCAGGUGUGUUUGAUCAGGGAGACAUCUCAAAUGUGCUGUGUUGGGCUUCUCCAGGACCAGGAUUGGGAGCCACUGCCUUAUGGGACACACUUAAGUGUUU
rnacentral:lncRNA from 1 species